rnacentral:rRNA from 1 species
ACGGGGAUUACACGGAGAUGCGAUUUCGGUCAAAUCAAGUGCAAUCUUAGUGGCGGACGGGUGAGUAACGCGUGGGUAACCUGCCUUGCACUGGGGGAUAACACUUAGAAAUAGGUGCUAAUACCGCAUAAGCGCACGGUCCUGCAUGGGACAGUGUGAAAAACUCCGGUGGUGCAAGAUGGACCCGCGUCUGAUUAGCUGGUUGGCGGGGUAAAGGCCCACCAAGGCGACGAUCAGUAGCCGGCCUGAGAGGGUGGACGGCCACAUUGGGACUGAGACACGGCCCAAACUCCUACGGGAGGCAGCAGUGGGGGAUAUUGGACAAUGGGGGGAACCCUGAUCCAGCGACGCCGCGUGAGUGAAGAAGUAUUUCGGUAUGUAAAGCUCUGUCAGCAGGGAACAAAGCAAUGACGGUACCUGACCAAGAAGCCCCGGCUAACUACGUGCCAGCAGCCGCGGUAAUACGUAGGGGGCAAGCGUUAUCCGGAAUUACUGGGUGUAAAGGGAGCGUAGACGGCUGUGCAAGUCUAGAGUGAAAGGCGGGGGCCCAACC